rnacentral:rRNA from 1 species
ACUGGAACUGCAUUGUGUCUGAUAGUCGAACGGAGGUAGAAAUACCUUAGUGGCGGACGGGUGAGUAGCGGGUGAGAAUCUGCCAACAUGACCGGGACUACAGGGAUGAAACCGCUGCUAAAACCCGAUGUGCCGGAAGGUAAAAAAUUAAUUGCCUUUUGAUGAGCUCGCGUCAGAUUAGCUAGUUGGUGAGGUAAAGGCUCACCAAGGCGACGAUCUGUGGCUGGUCUGAGAGGACGACCAGCCACACUGGGACUGAAACACGGCCCACACUCCUACUGGAGGCAGCAGUGGAGAAUUUUCCGCAAUGGGCGAAAGCCUGAUUGAGCCAUACCGCGUGGGGUAAGAAGGCUCUUGGGUUGGAAACCCCUUUUCUCUCGGAAGAAAAAAAUGACGGUACCUGAGGAAUAAGCAUCUGCUAACUCCGUGCCAGCAGCCGCGGUAAGACGGAGGAUGCAAGCGUUAUCCGGAAUGAUUGGGCGUAAAGCGUCCGCAGGUGGCCAUUCAAGUCUGCUGUCAAAGAGCAAGGCUCAACCUUGCCAAGGCAGUGGAAACUGAAAGGCUAAAGUGCGGUAGGGGUACAGGGAAUUCCCAGUGUAACUGUGAAAUGCGAAUAGAUUGGAAAGAACUGCGGUGGCGAAAGCGCUCUACUGGAGCUGCACUGUCACUGAGGGACCAGAGCUAGGGGAGCGAAUGCUAUUAGAUACCUGAGUAUUCCUAGCCGUAAACGAUGGAAACUACGUGUGGACUGAAUCUACUCGGGCCGUGCCGUAACUAACUCGUUUAGUUUCCCGCCUGGGGAGUACGCACGCAAGUGUGAAACUCAAAGGAAUUGACGGCCGCCCGCACAAGCGGUGGAGUAUGUGGUUUAAUUCGAUGCAACGCGAACACCCUUACCAGGACUUGACAUGUCGCGAAUCCUCUUGAAAGGGAAGAGUGCCCUUAGGAGCGCGAACACAGGUGGUGCAUGGCUGUCGUCAGCUCGUGUCAUGAGAUGUUGAGUCAAGUCCCGCAACGAGCGCAACCCUCCGUCCGUAGUUGCCAUCAUGAAGUUGGGCAACUCUAGGGGAGACUGCCCGGUGACAUACCCGU